ACUCCUACGGGAGGCAGCAGUAGGGAAUCUUCCACAAUGGACGCAAGUCUGAUGGAGCAACGCCGCGUGAGUGAAGAAGGGUUUCGGCUCGUAAAGCUCUGUUGUUAAAGAAGAACGUGGGUGAGAGUAACUGUUCACCCAGUGACGGUAUUUAACCAGAAAGCCACGGCUAACUACGUGCCAGCAGCCGCGGUAAUACGUAGGUGGCAAGCGUUAUCCGGAUUUAUUGGGCGUAAAGCGAGCGCAGGCGGUCUUUUAAGUCUGAUGUGAAAGCCUUCGGCUUAACCGGAGAAGUGCAUCGGAAACUGGAUAACUUGAGUGCAGAAGAGGGUAGUGGAACUCCAUGUGUAGCGGUGGAAUGCGUAGAUAUAUGGAAGAACACCAGUGGCGAAGGCGGCUACCUGGUCUGCAACUGACGCUGAGACUCGAAAGCAUGGGUAGCGAACAGGAUUAGAUACCCUGGUAGGAUAGCG
rnacentral:rRNA from 1 species